AGCAUUAAGUGGGCACUCUAAGGAGACUGCCGGUGACAAACGGAGGGAAGGUGGGGACGACGUCAAGUCAUCAUGGCCCUUACGUGUAGGGCUACACACGUGCUACAAUGGCAUUUACAGAGGGAAGCAAGACAGUGAUGUGGAGCGGACCCCUUAAAGAAUGUCGUAGUCCGGAUUGGAGUCUGCAACUCGACUCCAUGAAGUCGGAAUCGCUAGUAAUCGCAGGUCAGAAUACUGCGGUGAAUACGUUCCCGGGCCUUGUACACACCGCCCGUCACACCAUGGGAGUGGGAUGCAAAAGAAGUAGUUAGUCUAACCUUCGGGAGGACGAUUACCACUUUGUGUUUCAUGACUGGGGUGAAGUCGUAACAAGGUAACCCUAGGGGAACCUGGGGUUGGAUCACCUCCUUACCAUUACGUCGAAAGACGCACUUGAUGCAGUGCCUACACAGAUAGUCUUGUUUUUAUUGAACAAUACUUAUGUUCUUUAACAAUUUGGAAAGCUGAUAUUAAUAGUAAUCAAUCAAAAUUGAGUAACUGAGAAAUCGAAAGAUGACUUUUUACUCUACUUGACUGAAUUGCUUGUUAUCAAUUUAUUGAUAGCAAGGCAAUUCUUCCGAUUAGCUUGUCAUUCAUGCGACAUAACUUAGACAGAAGUCAAAAGGCUGUUUGGGGUUGUAUGGUUAAGUGACGAAGCGUAUACGGUGGAUGCCUUGGCAGUUAGAGGCGAUGAAGGACGUGUAAGUCUGCGAAAAGCUGUG
rnacentral:sRNA from 1 species